rnacentral:rRNA from 1 species
GAUGAACGCUGGCGGCGUGCCUAAUACAUGCAAGUCGAGCGAACAGACGAGGAGCUUGCUCCUCUGACGUUAGCGGCGGACGGGUGAGUAACACGUGGAUAACCUACCUACAAGACUGGGAUAACUUCGGGAAACCGGAGCUAAUACCGGAUAAUAUAUUGAACCGCAUGGUUCAAUAGUGAAAGACGGUUUUGCUGUCACUUAUAGAUGGAUCCGCGCCGCAUUAGCUAGUUGGUAAGGUAACGGCUUACCAAGGCAACGAUGCGUAGCCGACCUGAGAGGGUGAUCGGCCACACUGGAACUGAGACACGGUCCAGACUCCUACGGGAGGCAGCAGUAGGGAAUCUUCCGCAAUGGGCGAAAGCCUGACGGAGCAACGCCGCGUGAGUGAUGAAGGUCUUCGGAUCGUAAAACUCUGUUAUUAGGGAAGAACAAAUGUGUAAGUAACUAUGCACGUCUUGACGGUACCUAAUCAGAAAGCCACGGCUAACUACG